UCAGAAGUGGCACUUGUAGCAUGUGAGAU
rnacentral:piRNA from 1 species